UGUUCAUAACCCUUUGUUGUCCGACUCUGUUGCCUCCGGGGCGACCCUGCCUUCGGGCGGGGGCUCCGGGUGGACACUUCAAACUCUUGCGUAACUUUGCAGUCUGAGUAAACUUAAUUAAUAAAUUAAAACUUUUAACAACGGAUCUCUUGGUUCUGGCAUCGAUGAAGAACGCAGCGAAAUGCGAUAAGUAAUGUGAAUUGCAGAAUUCAGUGAAUCAUCGAAUCUUUGAACGCACAUUGCGCCCCCUGGUAUUCCGGGGGGCAUGCCUGUUCGAGCGUCAUUUCACCACUCAAGCCUCGCUUGGUAUUGGGCAACGCGGUCCGCCGCGUGCCUCAAAUCGACCGGCUGGGUCUUCUGUCCCCUAAGCGUUGUGGAAACUAUUCGCUAAAGGGUGCUCGGGAGGCUACGCCGUAAAACAAACCCAUUUCUAAGGUUGACCUCGGAUCAGGUAGGGAUACCCGCUGAACUUAAGCAUAUCAAUAA
rnacentral:rRNA from 1 species